ensembl:lncRNA
AAGUCAGUGGGGCUAUCUUUUUGUUUCUAUCAAAGAAUAAGAAAAGAAGGCUCUUUCCUAAAGGCUAGAAAACAAGCUUUAGGUGGAACCCACCAAAAUGGCUCAUCAAGACAACUUAGGGCACUCCCCCAUCCCCGUGGAGGAGAAUGAUGCAGCAGGAAACCAAGGCCAGCAGGGUGCUAGACCACGGCAAACUAGAUUUCGAAGAAAAUGCAAGCAGCUGCAUUCAGCACGGCCAGGGGGAGAAGAAACUAGGGUUUUGCAAGAUCCAAGUUCUUUGAACAAUGAGGUAUGCAGAUAGAUGACCAAAGAAUAAAGAGGACUGAAAACCAUGUAGAGGGUUGGAGAUUUCCCCUUAAACUGCACAGAGUUUCUCAUGCAAGAAGAAUAACUUCAAAACCAGAAUGUGGUCAUCUGUGCCAGAUAUCCUUCCUCUGUCUUCCCACAUUCUCUAAUGGCAAGUAUCCUAUUUGCUUCAAGACUGAGAAGAUUUCCUGCUGCCUCCUGGACAGCAGAGACCUUUCCUUAUGCUUCAAGAGCCAGAUCUUUCCCUCCUUUCCCUACUGCUGUGCUAUCCUACACAAGCAGGAAUUUCCAAGGCCUUCCUGGGACUUUUUUGGCCAAAACUAACAUCAGCCUGGAAUCACUGUUGUGUUUUAGCAUGUGGUUGAGUCCUAUGAACUGGGUUUCUUUGUAAGAAUACUCAAAAUCUGAAGCAUAUUCUGUGCUUAUUUGUGUUUUCUAAGCAGCUUUCUCAAGCUCCUAAGGCCUUAUUUUCUGAUUCGUAGGACCAUGAGUUCAUUAGUAAGUAGUAACCCAUCACCUAAUGAUUUUUAUCCAUUAAUAUGAGUGUGUUUUUGGCCAUUAAAAGCAAUUAAAUCAGACCUUGAUAUGCUGGGGAAAAAAAAAAAUGAACAUCAAGCCUUGCUGUUAUGGGUACUCAUUAAUAAACAAAACGAUAUUUGCAAUAUU